GCUACUGAAAGCAGCCACCCUCAACCAGAAGCACUGGACUUAGGAAAGUUUGAAACCAAAGAAUCUCCAGCUCUUAGAGCCACAGAGCACUUGGCAAGAAACAGGCUUCUCAGCAGACUACCAUCAAGUGUAGAAGCAGACAAUUCAGAAAAAGCAAGGAUAACGCUGGAAGAAUUUUGUUUAAAGAGGGUCCUAAGGGUCUUGGGUGAAGCAGCUGGUGAAAGAGAAGGUGGAAAAACACUUGAAGCUCUACCUGUGGAAGAGUCAGUUAUCACACCAAGGAGACACAGGAGCCACCAGCUUGGGCUGACAGGCACAAUAACCAUUUAUUCAAAGAUGCCAUCUAAUGCACUAUGCCACUAAGUACUGUGGCUGGACAGUGAUUUUAAGUGUAACAAAUUAUCUUCACUUUGAAAAGAGCUUAAGAGAGAGAAAACAAAUAUUACAUCUUAAACAGAGGCAUGAAUCAAACCAACUUAUGAACGGUGAAAGCAACUUAUCAAAAUGUCUUCGGACAUAUCAAGACUGACUUAAACCAUGUUCUGUGCCCUUUCUUUGUUGAGAAGAUAAACUGGAAAAUGCAAGCUAUUGUCCUUUGCCAAGGAUCGAAGAUCAAAA
rnacentral:lncRNA from 1 species